UACGUAGGGGCCGAGCGUUGUCCGGAGUUAUUGGGCGUAAAGCGCGCGCAGGCGGCUUGACGCGCCCGACGUGAAAGCCCCCGGCUUAACCGGGGAGGGUCGUCGGGUACGGUCAGGCUUGAGGGCGGGAGAGGGUGGUGGAAUUCCCGGUGUAGUGGUGAAAUGCGUAGAGAUCGGGAGGAACACCUGUGGCGAAGGCGGCCACCUGGGCCGACCCUGACGCUGAGGCGCGAAAGCGUGGGGAGCGAACGGGAUUAGAAACCCUUGGAUAC
rnacentral:rRNA from 1 species